rnacentral:rRNA from 1 species
AGAGUUAAAUAGUACGUGAAAUUGUUGAAAGGGAAACGAUUAAAGUUAGUCAUGCUGGUAGGGAAUCAACUUGAUAGUAUGCGGGUUUACUCGUGUUCUUUCGGGUGCAUUUCUUUACUCGCAGGUUAGCAUCAAUUUUGGUUAUUAUAUAAAAAUUGAGGGAAGGUGGCUUUUCUUUAGAAAAGUGUUAUAGACCUUAAUAAAUGUGGUGACUGGGAUUGAGGUUUGCAGCGGAUACCCUUUAGGGCUAGUCACCUGACUUCUGACGGUUACCCUGUCUUCGAUAGCUUGCUAACGUUGAUGGGAUUUAACUGUCUAGAUGUUAGAGUGAUCAUAAAUUCGCUAAGGAUGCUGACGUAAUGGCUUUAAACGACC